UAAACAAUGUAUAACAACAAAAUUGGCUGGACAAUAAAAGUGUUUUUUGAUGGAGAGAGCGAAGUUUCAUCCAUUGAAGCAGAUGAGAGGAUAUGGGAGACGCCGCUCUCAACAAACAAUCAUCUGACAUUGAAUCGAGUGAAGUCUGGGAGCCAGUCAGCAAAAAGCCAUAUAUUGAGGGACAUGAUGACAGCACCUCUGAAAAACAUCGUAAAAACCACUACAUAAUGUGUUUAU